rnacentral:tRNA from 1 species
GCACGCAUAGCUCAGCCGGUAGAGCGCUGCAUUCACAUUGCAGAGGUCUCUGGUUCAAGUCCAGAUGCGUGCA